GACGAACGCUGGCGGCGCGCCUAACACAUGCAAGUCGAACGAGCGAGAGAGAGCUUACUUUCUCAAGCGAGUGGCGAACGGGUGAGUAACGCGUGAGGAACCUGCCUCAAAGAGGGGGACAACAGUUGGAAACGACUGCUAAUACCGCAUGAUGCAUUUGGGUCGCAUGGCCUGGAUGCCAAAGAUUUAUCGCUGAAAGAUGGCCUCGCGUCUGAUUAGCUAGUUGGUGAGGUAACGGCCCACCAAGGCGACGAUCAGUAGCCGGACUGAGAGGUUGACCGGCCACAUUGGGACUGAGAUACGGCCCAG
rnacentral:rRNA from 1 species